rnacentral:tRNA from 1 species
CGGGGUGUAGCUCAGAUUGGCUAGAGCGCACCGUUCGGGACGGUGAGGUCGGAGGUUCAAAUCCUCUCACCCCGA